UACGGAGGGGGCUAGCGUUGUUCGGAAUUACUGGGCGUAAAGCGCGCGUAGGCGGCUUUGUAAGUUAGAGGUGAAAGCCCGGAGCUCAACUCCGGAACUCCUUUAAGACUGCAUGCUAGAACGUUGGAGAGGUGAGUGGAAUUCCGAGUGUAGAGGUGAAAUUCGUAGAUAUUCGGAAGAACACCAGUGGCGAAGGCGACUCACUGGACAACUGUUGACGCUGAGGUGCGAAAGCGUGGGGAGCAAACAGG
rnacentral:rRNA from 1 species